UACGUAGGGUGCAAGCGUUGUCCGGAAUUAUUGGGCGUAAAGAGCUCGUAGGCGGUCUGUCGCGUCGGCUGUGAAAACCCAGGGCUCAACCCCGGGCCUGCAGUCGAUACGGGCAGACUAGAGUGCGGUAGGGGAGACUGGAAUUCCGGGUGUAGCGGUGGAAUGCGUAGAGAUCCGGAAGAACACCGGUGGCGAAGGCGGUCCGCUGGGGUGUUGCUGACGCUGAGGCGCGACAGCGUGGGGAGCAAACAGG
rnacentral:rRNA from 1 species